AAAAUGCUACUUUUAGAGUGAAUUCACCGUUUACAAUUUUGAUUUAGGCCCAAGUGUGUUGAGUUUCAAGAAGCCGUCCAACUAUCUUGCUAGAUACAACAACAUUCCUCAAUACCAAGUUAGGGUCGGCUAUAUGAAUCCGCACAAGAUAAGCUCAUCAAAUAUCUUGCUAGAUGUAAUUGCCCAAAAGCUCAUUGUGGAGCAUGUUCCUGUUGUUAGUUUAUUUUCUGAAUGCACCAAUCGCUGUAAAGGCUAAAUUUUGAAAGAAAAAUUACUCUUGUGCGGCAAAGAAAAAUAUAUUAAUGAACAUUUGGUUUUUAGAUGUUCUUGAAUGAGGCUUUCUGUUAUGCAUCUAAGCAGAAAAUAUGCAUAAGAAACUUGUAGCAGUCUCUGUUUCCAAUUUUAGAUGAAAUGGUUCUUUUAUCAUACUCCAUCCAACUUGUCUUGGCACUCUAAUGGUGUGGGAGAUGCUAUAAGUUUUAGCUCCCUUGUGCAUAGUGGUUAUUAGGCUUUCAUUAACAGUAAUUUCAUCUCCUUUUGCAGAAAGUAAAGAGAUUCUUGCUUGCUGAAGUGAGCUUUGGGAACACAGAAGGGACCACUGAGAAAAGAAAUUAAUCCCUGAUGGAGUCAGAGUGUGAAUUGUGAUGUUGAAUUCUCAUAAUUCUUGUAAUUUAGACUACUGGGUAUCUUGUUUGUCUAGUGGAAUAGAAUUUUAACUGCUUGUGCCAAUAGAACAGAUUUUUGACGUGUAAAAUUAUGCCUUAAAUACUAUCACUAUCAUUUCAUUUUACAUCAAGCACCAAGAGAAGUCCGAUGCACAAAGCAUCUUGCAUUCAUGCUGGGUUUGAGGAAGGGCCUUAUUUCAAUAGGUGUGAUGUAUGCAGCCUACUCUGAUGCACGCAUCAGUGAUUAAUUUCACGACUCAAACCCGUGAUCUAUAGAUCACACGGACACAACUUUACCAUUGCGCCAAAGCUCUCUUCUCAUUGUCUUAAUGAUCAGAUUUUAGUUUCCUCUUGAUCUGAAAAGUAUUACAACAUGGGGCUUAUACUGGAGUUUUCUUUUUCAAGUCUUUGGUUGGUGGAAGUUGUCGGUCAUUGUUGGUGUUGGUGGUACAAUUUACAGUAAAAUUUGAUGGAUACCAAUUUUCCCUGCUAAUCAGAUGCAGAAGGAAUGCUUGAUGUACGACAAACAACUGUAGUGGCAUAGCUAGUUUUCCAAGUCAACCAUACUAAUCCGUUCCAAUAUUUCAUAAGAACUGUGACGACCAAAAGAGGUUAUCACCGUAAUUCUUCUUUUACUUGUGCUUUUGCGACCUUGAAAACCUUUUAUUUGGUUGUCUCGAU
rnacentral:lncRNA from 1 species